rnacentral:misc_RNA from 1 species
AAUGUUUACAGAACUAAAUACCAGGUACUUGAGUGAAUAUGCCAAGCUCCCAACAGGUAACAGCAUUUCUAUCCAGAAUGACUGAAUAAUCACUACUUAUACAUAUCUGAAAUUCAUUAAUGAGAUAUGAACAUGGACAUAAUUAUUAGGGCUUACAUCAUUUGGAAUCUUACACUUGGAUGAUAUACAGAAAGAACAAGGUGGAAGCAUA